rnacentral:rRNA from 1 species
AUUGAACGCUGGCGGCAGGCCUAACACAUGCAAGUCGAGCGGAUGAAGGGAGCUUGCUCCUGGAUUCAGCGGCGGACGGGUGAGUAAUGCCUAGGAAUCUGCCUGGUAGUGGGGGAUAACGUCCGGAAACGGGCGCUAAUACCGCAUACGUCCUGAGGGAGAAAGUGGGGGAUCUUCGGACCUCACGCUAUCAGAUGAGCCUAGGUCGGAUUAGCUAGUUGGUGGGGUAAAGGCCUACUAAGCCGACGAUCCGUAACUGGUCUGAGAGGAUGAUCAGUCACACUGGAACUGAGACACGGUCCAGACUCCUACGGGAGGCAGCAGUGGGGAAUAUUGGGCAAUGGGCGAAAGCCUGAUCCAGCCCUGCCGCGUGUGUGAGGAAGGUCUUCGGAUUGUAAAGCACUUUAAGUUGGGAGGAAGGGCAGUAAGUUAAUACCUUGCUGUUUUGACGUUACCAACAGAAUAAGCACCGGCUAACUUCGUG